rnacentral:rRNA from 1 species
GCUUGAGCACGUAGGUGGGUUGUAAGUCAGAUGUGAAAGCCUUCUGUUCAACGGAAGAAUUGCACCUGAAACUACGAGUCUUGAGUGUAGGAGGGGAGAAUGGAACUUCUGGUGGAGCGGUGAAAUGCGUAGAUAUCAGAAGGAACGCCGGCGGCGAAAGCGAUUCUCUGGCCUAUUACUGACACUCAGUGUGCGAAAGCUAGGGGAGCAAACGGGAUUAGAUACCCCGGUAGUCCUAGCCGUAAACGAUGGGCACUAAGUAGAGGGAGUUACCGAUAUUCUCUCUGCCGUAGCUAACGCAUUAAGUGCCCCGCCUGGGGAGUACGGCCGCAAGGCUAAAACUCAAAAGAAUUGACGGGGGCUCGCACAAGCGGUGGAGCAUGUGGCUUAAUUCGAUGCAACGCGAAAAACCUUACCGGGGCUUGACAUGGUAGAAGUAGGAACCCGAAAGGGUAACGAACGGUAUCCAGUCCGUAGCUAUUACAGGUGUUGCAUGGCUGUCGUCAGCUCGUGUCGUGAGACGUUGGGUUAAGUCCCCUAACGAGCGAAACCCUUGUUUUUGGUUGCCAGCGGGUUGUGCCGGGCACUCUAGAAAGACUGCCGUCGUCAAGACGGAGGAAGGUGGGGACGACGUCAAGUCAUCAUGGCCCUUAUGCCCCGGGCUGCACACGUGCUACAAUGGUCGGUACAAACGGAAGCGAAGCCGAGAGGUGAAGCGAAUCCAAGC